CAGCAGCCGCGGUAAUACGUAGGUGGCAAGCGUUGUCCGGAAUUAUUGGGCGUAAAGGGCUCGCAGGCGGUUUCUUAAGUCUGAUGUGAAAGCCCCCGGCUCAACCGGGGAGGGUCAUUGGAGACUGGGAAACUUGAGUGCAGAAGAGGAGAGUGGAAUUCCACGUGUAGCGGUGAAAUGCGUAGAGAUGUGGAGGAACACCAGUGGCGAAGGCGACUCUCUGGUCUGUAACUGACGCUGAGGAGCGAAAGCGUGGGGAGCGAACAGGAUUAGAUACCCCAGUAGUCCCUGUCUCUUAUAC
rnacentral:rRNA from 1 species